rnacentral:rRNA from 1 species
ACGAACGCUGGCGGCGUGCCUAACACAUGCAAGUCGAACGAGAAAGGGGCUUCGGCUCCGAGUAAAGUGGCGCACGGGUGAGUAACACGUGGGUAACCUGCCUCUAAGAUUGGGAUAACUCGUCGAAAGAUGAGCUAAUACCGAAUAAGACCACAGUUCCCGCGGGAACAGGGGUCAAAGGUAGCCUCUGCUUGCAAGCUAUCACUUAGAGAUGGGCCUGCGCACCAUUAGCUAGUUGGUAGGGUAACGGCCUACCAAGGCAAAGAUGGUUAGCUGGUCUGAGAGGAUGAUCAGCCACACUGGAACUGAGACACGGUCCAGACUCCUACGGGAGGCAGCAGUGGGGAAUAUUGCGCAAUGGGCGAAAGCUUGACGCAGCAACGCCGCGUGAGUGAUGAAGGCCUUCGGGUCGUAAAGCUCUGUCGGGAGGAACGAAUGCUCCUGAGGUUAACAGCCUCGGGAGGUGACGGUACCUUCAAAGGAAGCACCGGCUAACUCUGU